GCAUGGGAACUAGAGCGGAGUACUUUUCCCCUUCGGAGGCAUAAAUCCUCGUGGAGGCAUAGGAGGAGGUAAAAGACAUAAUUAAGAAGAAAAGCAAAGAGAAAAAGCAUGGCAAAGUAUUGCAGAUCGCCUGAAUGCGGGGUAUGGCUGCCAGCCUUUUCUCCUGACACCUUUCACUGACCCCCAGGAAGCACAGCAGGUGUACAACCAUGCCCAUGCCAGGACCCGGCCCAGAGUUGAAAUGACCUUUGGCUUCCCGAAGGCAUGCUUUCUCUGCCUUCACAAAUUAAGGGUCAGCCCUGUGAGGGCAUGUGACAUCACUGUGGCUUGUGCUGCCCUUCACAAUGUGGCCUGCCUGAGGAAUCAGAGGGCCACGAGCCAUGGACUGGGACAAUCCGGCAAUCUUCCCUGAUGAUGACAGUGGUCAGCUGCUGAGGGAUCAAUAUGUGUUGAAUUAUUUUAGUUAGUAUGUGUGCUUUCAAUUUUGGUUAAAUAUGUCCUGCGGUGGCAGAGGAAUUUGGGGUUUUUUGUGUUCAAUAUUUUUUUCUAUUUUUUUUUUUAUUGAUUUGGCCUCUUAUGAUGUUUGUACUGUAAUACAAGCUUGCAGGAAGGCUACUGCAUCCAUUCAUUUGUCUGUUCAGUUGAUGUAUGGAUUUGUCCUGCAUUUAUUUCAGUGUGCAGACAUGUGAGGUGUGUUAUAUACAGACUUUUGAAUGUGUAUUUAUCCUUUUGUUGUAUAAUAUGCUUUGAUUCUGUGCUUUCCAUCUUGUAGAGUCACUGUGUGACCUCAGUUUUGAAAGCUGAUGGUUUACCUGCUUUGUUUUACCCUUAUUCAAUAAAGGAACAUAAUGUUA